rnacentral:lncRNA from 1 species
AACACCGAAGGCUCCUCAAUAGAUGUCUUGGAUAGUGGUGUUGGUCGAUUAGCCAGAUCAAGGUCUAGAUUUUUAGGAGCAUAAGGAUAAGAACCCCUUCCUAUAAAGGCACAAACUGUCUCUUCAUAUUCCCCGAUGCCUUCACUAUCAUAAUUCAUUACGAUAGCUGCCAAAGGUUUGAUAACAAAUUGUUGAGCUAUGGACUUAUCAUGUUCAUCCUCAUAAUACACAUCAACUAUUGAGAACACACUUAUUUUUUCAUGCUGCUUAAUUGAUUUU